rnacentral:rRNA from 1 species
AACGAACGCUGGCGGCAGGCCUAACACAUGCAAGUCGAGCGCGCCCUUCGGGGUGAGCGGCGGACGGGUGAGUAACGCGUGGGAACGUGCCCUUUUCUACGGAAUAGCCUCGGGAAACCGAGAGUAAUACCGUAUACGCCCUUUGGGGGAAAGAUUUAUCGGAAAAGGAUCGGCCCGCGUUGGAUUAGGUAGUUGGUGGGGUAAUGGCCUACCAAGCCGACGAUCCAUAGCUGGUUUGAGAGGAUGAUCAGCCACACUGGGACUGAGACACGGCCCAGACUCCUACGGGAGGCAGCAGUGGGGAAUCUUAGACAAUGGGGGCAACCCUGAUCUAGCCAUGCCGCGUGAGUGAUGAAGGCCUUAGGGUUGUAAAGCUCUUUCAGCUGGGAAGAUAAUGACGGUACCAGCAGAAGAAGCCCCGGCUAACUCCGUG